AGUGAACGCUGGCGGUAGGCCUAACACAUGCAAGUCGAACGGCAGCACAGUAAGAGCUUGCUCUUACGGGUGGCGAGUGGCGGACGGGUGAGGAAUACAUCGGAAUCUACUUUUUCGUGGGGGAUAACGUAGGGAAACUUACGCUAAUACCGCAUACGACCUACGGGUGAAAGCAGGGGAUCUUCGGACCUUGCGCGAUUGAAUGAGCCGAUGUCGGAUUAGCUAGUUGGCGGGGUAAAGGCCCACCAAGGCGACGAUCCGUAGCUGGUAUGAGAGGAUGAUCAGCCAGACUGGAACUGAGACACGGUCAAGACUCCUACGGGAGGCAGCAGUGGGGAAUAUUGGACAAUGGGCGCAAGCAUGAUCCAGCCAUACCGCGUGGGUGAAGAAGGCCUUCGGGUUGUAAAGCCAUUUUGUUGGGAAAGAAAAGCAGCAGGUUAAUACCCCGCUGUUCUGACGGUACCCAAAGAAUAAGCACCGGCUAACUUCGUG
rnacentral:rRNA from 1 species